rnacentral:rRNA from 1 species
CUGGCUCAGGAUGAACGCUAGCGACAGGCUAACACAUGCAAGUCGAGGGCAGCACGGAGUAGCAAUACAACUGGUGGCGACCGGCGCACGGGUGAGUAACGCGUAUGCAACCUACCUAUCAGAGGGGAAUAACCCGGCGAAAGUCGGACUAAUACCGCAUAAAACAGGGGCACCGCAUGGUGAUAUUUGUUAAAGAGAUUCGCUGAUAGAUGGGCAUGCGUUCCAUUAGGUAGUUGGUGAGGUAACGGCUCACCAAGCCGACGAUGGAUAGGGGAACUGAGAGGUUGGUCCCCCACACUGGUACUGAGACACGGACCAGACUCCUACGGGAGGCAGCAGUGAGGAAUAUUGGUCAAUGGGCGGGAGCCUGAACCAGCCAAGUCGCGUGAAGGAAGAAGGAUCUAUGGUUCGUAAACUUCUUUUGCAGGGGAAUAAAGUGCAGGACGUGUCCUGUUUUGUAUGUACCCUGAGAAUAAGGAUCGGCUAACUCCGUGCCAGCCGCCGC